rnacentral:rRNA from 1 species
CCUCUUUCAGUAGGGAAGAAGCUCUUCGGGGUGACGGUACCUGCAGAAGAAGCGCCGGCUAACUACGUGCCAGCAGCCGCGGUAAUACGUAGGGCGCAAGCGUUGUCCGGAAUUAUUGGGCGUAAAGAGCUCGUAGGCGGUCUGUCGCGUCUGCUGUGAAAACGCGGGGCUCAACCCCGCGCCUGCAGUGGGUACGGGCAGACUAGAGUGCGGUAGGGGAGACUGGAAUUCCUGGUGUAGCGGUGGAAUGCGCAGAUAUCAGGAGGAACACCGGUGGCGAAGGCGGGUCUCUGGGCCGUUACUGACGCUGAGGAGCGAAAGCAUGGGGAGCGAACAGGAUUAGAUACCCUGGUAGUCCAUGCCGUAAACGUUGGGCACUAGGUGUGGGACCCAUUCCACGGGUUCCGUGCCGCAGCUAACGCAUUAAGUGCCCCGCCUGGGGAGUACGGCCGCAAGGCUAAAACUCAAAGGAAUUGACGGGGGCCCGCACAAGCGGCGGAGCAUGCGGAUUAAUUCGAUGCAACGCGAAGAACCUUACCAAGGCUUGACAUACACCGGAAACAUCCAGAGAUGGGUGCCCCGCAAGGUCGGUGUACAGGUGGUGCAUGGUUGUCGUCAGC